CGGCUCACCUUUUGUCCACCAUGAAAACCGCAGCCUCUUUUCCUGGUUAAAAACUUUCAGAGAUAAAAGUCUGGGGACCAAACAUUGAACCCUGAGGUACUCCAUAGUGCCCGCAUUCAGGUUAUUGUUUCACGAGCCUCCAUUUUCAUUUGGGUCGUGUUAAAAUUAAACCUGCAGCGUUAACGUGAUGAACGCUGCCCUCAGAACCCUGAUGGAUGCCGAAAAAGCAAUUCUCUGAACCAACUCUGGCGCAGUGCUGAUGAAGUUUAAUCGUAAUGCGAAUACAUCACGGACAAAAGGGUUUAAAAUGAGCAGUUUCAAGCUCGGUUAUCAAAUGCAGCAAGAAUUUGGUUAACGUUUUUGCAUUAGAAAAAUUGGCAUGUGGUAAAAGUUCCAGCUGCGAUCAUCAGAAAUAAUGCAGUUUUUAUUAAAAAAGACAAAGUCGUGAGCGAUCACAGUGACAAGUGCGGCACUGUGUGCAUGUAAACAGAGCCACUGAAGCAGAUUUUUUUUCGCAGGCGGCGUCUGCUGAUAAGUUCGGGCCACGUUUCAUUAGCCGCCUCUUUGUCUACAGUAAAUGUCAGAGAUCAGCGCUGCGCCCACACUGAGAGGUUUUUGGAUGGAAAACAAGCCUGGCUGGCACACAUCUGUUGGUUCAGGGAGAGAAAUGUCAAUAUCAGCCAGAACUGAAUGUCACAAUUAAUAAAACAAAAAAAAAAACUGUGCUGCUUAUAGACAGAAAUUGGGUUGUAUAAUCUGUCGACGCUUUCAAUAUCUCACAGAGGAGAUGAUCUGAUUAUUGCUGUUUUCACGUCUCAAGAGGCUGACUUAAUCAGUGUUUAUCUAUUUGUGCUGAUUCCCCACCCCGAGGGCUCGUCUCCAAUCAGUAUUUGGAGGAUUUCCCUGGAUCUGAUGCA